AACGCUACCUUACAGAAAGCAGAUUAACAUAUUAGAAAGGUAAAGAAUGCAAUGCCAGCUAUGUUCCAGUGUAUCAUAAGCUAUUAUCUACUGUACGUUCGGCUGAAUAUGAAUAAUUCAUAAAAGACAGGUCCUAGGAGUGGUAAGCCUAUAAUGUUACAGAACAAACUUGCAUAUUCACAAGUAUUACACCAUGCCUACCGGGGAGUUACUCUUCCAGAGAUCAUGCCGCUGCUCGCAUCAAGACUCCCAGAGGCCUGUGACGAGACGAAGAGGGUCCUGGUCGCUGAAGAUGACAACGACUUACUGACAUCGGUCGAGUCUGUUUCUGAGGUUUCCAGCAGAAUCAGGUCCUCUUCAGGCAUCAUCCUCAAGAUGAGCUCAAGUUCUCUGACAAUCUCCCACAUGGAAGGCCUGUCAUCAGUUUCAUCCUGGCAACACUUGGUUGCUAGUGAUAAGAACCUCUUGAUGCAUU
rnacentral:misc_RNA from 1 species